UUGGUUGGCCACUCCAUGAGAGAGAAUCCCAGGUAAUUGGGACUCUAAGGAUCACAUUCAUUUUGGCUCCAAUCUGAGUCCAAUUCAAACUUGAUUCAAAUCAGAUUCGAACCAAACUCGAAGAGGCUGUCAAUCCUCAUCUAAUUAGGAUUUUGACCCAAGUCUAACUUAUAUUUUAACCUAAUUAAGUCUUAAUUAAAUUAUA
rnacentral:lncRNA from 1 species